UACAGAGGGGGCGAGCGUUGUUCGGAAUUACUGGGCGUAAAGGGCGCGUAGGCGGCCUUCUAAGUCGAACGUGAAAUCCCCGGGCUCAACCCGGGAACUGCGUCCGAUACUGGGAGGCUUGAAUCCGGGAGAGGGAUGUGGAAUUCCAGGUGUAGCGGUGAAAUGCGUAGAUAUCUGGAGGAACGCCGGUGGCGAAGGCGGCAUCCUGGACCGGUAUUGACGCUGAGGCGCGAAAGCCAGGGGAGCAAACGGG
rnacentral:rRNA from 1 species